UACAGAGGGUGCAAGCGUUAAUCGGAAUUACUGGGCGUAAAGCGCGCGUAGGCGGUUUGUCAAGUCGAAUGUGAAAUCCCCGGGCUCAACCUGGGAACUGCAUCCGAAACUGGCAAGCUAGAGUAUGGUAGAGGGUGGUGGAAUUUCCUGUGUAGCGGUGAAAUGCGUAGAUAUAGGAAGGAACACCAGUGGCGAAGGCGACCACCUGGACUGAUACUGACACUGAGGCACGAAAGCUAGGGGAGCAAACAGG
rnacentral:rRNA from 1 species